AACUUCGGGAGAAGGCACGCUGAUGGUAGGUGAAGUCCCUUGCGGAUGGAGCUGAACUCAGUCGAAGAUACCAGCUGGCUGCAACUGUUUAUUAAAAACACAGCACUGUGCAAACACGAAAGUGGACGUAUACGGUGUGACGCCUGCCCGGUGCCGGAAGGUUAAUUGAUGGGGUUAGCGAAAGCGAAGCUCUUGAUCGAAGCCCCGGUAAACGGCGGCCGUAACUAUAACGGUCCUAAGGUAGCGAAAUUCCUUGUCGGGUAAGUUCCGACCUGCACGAAUGGCGUAAUGAUGGCCAGGCUGUCUCCACCCGAGACUCAGUGAAAUUGAAAUCGCUGUGAAGAUGCAGUGUACCCGCGGCAAGACGGAAAGACCCCGUGAACCUUUACUAUAGCUUGACACUGAACAUUGAGCCUUGAUGUGUAGGAUAGGUGGGAGGCAUUGAAACGUGAACGCCAGUUUGCGUGGAGCCGACCUUGAAAUACCACCCUUUAAUGUUUGAUGUUCUAACGUUGUCCCGUAAUCCGGGAUACGGACAGUGUCUGGUGGGUAGUUUGACUGGGGCGGUCUCCUCCUAAAGAGUAACGGAGGAGCACGAAGGUUAGCUAAGCAUGGUCGGACAUCAUGCGGUUAGUGCAAAGGCAGAAGCUAGCUUAACUGCGAGACGGACAGGUCGAGCAGAUACGAAAGUAGGUCUUAGUGAUCCGGUGGUUCUGAAUGGAAGGGCCAUCGCUCAACGGAUAAAAGGUACUCCGGGGAUAACAGGCUGAUACCGCCCAAGAGUUCAUAUCGACGGCGGUGUUUGGCACCUCGAUGUCGGCUCAUCACAUCCUGGGGCUGAAGUUGGUCCCAAGGGUAUGGCUGUUCGCCAUUUAAAGUGGUACGCGAGCUGGGUUUAGAACGUCGUGAGACAGUUCGGUCCCUAUCUGUCGUGGGCGUUGGAUGAUUGAGGGGGGCUGCUCCUAGUACGAGAGGACCGGAGUGGACGCAUCUCUGGUGUUCCGGUUGUCACGCCAGUGGCAUUGCCGGGUAGCUAAAUGCGGAAGAGAUAAGCGCUGAAAGCAUCUAAGCGCGAAACUUGCCCCGAGAUGAGUCAUCCCUGAGGCUUUAAGCCUCCUAAAGGGUUGUUGGAGACUACGACGUAGAUAGGCAGGGUGUGUAAGCGUAGCGAUACGUUGAGCUAACCUGUACUAAUUGCCCGUGAGGCUUAACCAU
rnacentral:rRNA from 1 species